AACUAUUGUUGUUUUGUUUUGAAAACAAAACUUAAAACUUUAUGUUUUGUAGUUUU
rnacentral:tRNA from 1 species